CUUUUAGCGAUGAAGAGGUAGAAGCUGUGUCGCCUAUCCCAGCUUUGCCACCGAAUCACCACCAUCACCAUCACCACAACCAUGUUCACCCACCGAGUCAUGCCCCUGUUGUCUCUCCCAUGCAUGCUCCAGCUCAUGCACCCGUUCACCCACCAAAGCCGCACCCACACCCACACCCAUCGGUUCAGCCUCCCAUGCACUCUCCAAAACCACACCUACCGGUUAAACCACCAGUUCACCCUCCCGUACACUCUGCACCACCAAAGCCAUUACCACAUCCACACCCACACCCACCAGUUAAACCACCAGCUGAGGCACCGAUCUACCACUUCGAAAGAAGCUUUGUUUCCGUGCAAGGGGUUGUUUAUUGCAAGUCAUGCAAAUAUUCUGGAGUUGAAA
rnacentral:lncRNA from 1 species